UUGGCUUCUUCGAAGAUUGAUGAGUUUUUCCAGUAAUUCAUUGAUUCAAAGCGAAGCCUAAAGUAAAUGUGUAAAUAUAUUUAUUCAAUAGAUAUAUUUCUCAAUGGGUUGGCGUAUCUUAUCUGAAAGAAAAAAGAGGGGAUGCGCAGAGGUUAAUUGUACUAUUGUUGACGUUACUAGAAUCCAUUGAUACAUCU
rnacentral:snoRNA from 1 species